AUUGAACGCUGGCGGCAUGCCUAAAACAUGCAAGUCGAGCGAGUGGCGGACGGGUGAGUAAUGACUGGGAAACUGCCUAAUGGAGGGGGAUAACUACUGGAACAGGUAGCUAAUAACGCAUAAAAUCGGAUGUGCCCAGAGGGGAUUAGCUAGUAGGUGGGGUAAAGGCUUACCUAGGCGACGAUCCCUAGCUGGUCUGAGAGGAUGACCCUCCACACUGGCACUGCGACACGGUCCAGACUCCUACGGGAGGCAGCCGUUGGGAAUAUGGCACAAUGGGGGCAAGCCUGAUGCCGCCAUGCCGCGUGUAUGAAGAAGGCCUUCGGGUUGUAAAGUACUUUCCGCGAGGAGGCGUUACUCGCCGAAUAAACCACGGCUAACUCCGUGCCAGCAGCCGCGGUAAUUC
rnacentral:rRNA from 1 species